rnacentral:tRNA from 2 species
CGGGUGUAGUUCAAUGGUUAGAAUCCCAGCCUUCCAAGCUGGUCGUGUGGGUUCGAUUCCCAUCACCC